rnacentral:rRNA from 1 species
CACUCCUGCGGGAGGCAGCAGUGGGGAAUUUUGGACAAUGGGCGAAAGCCUGAUCCAGCCAUGCCGCGUGCAGGAUGAAGGCCUUCGGGUUGUAAACUGCUUUUGUACGGAACGAAACGGCCUUUUCUAAUAAAGAGGGCUAAUGACGGUACCGUAAGAAUAAGCACCGGCUAACUACGUGCCAGCAGCCGCGGUAAUACGUAGGGUGCAAGCGUUAAUCGGAAUUACUGGGCGUAAAGCGUGCGCAGGCGGUUAUGUAAGACAGUUGUGAAAUCCCCGGGCUCAACCUGGGAACUGCAUCUGUGACUGCAUAGCUAGAGUACGGUAGAGGGGGAUGGAAUUCCGCGUGUAGCAGUGAAAUGCGUAGAUAUGCGGAGGAACACCGAUGGCGAAGGCAAUCCCCUGGACCUGUACUGACGCUCAUGCACGAAAGCGUGGGGAGCAAACAGGAUUAGAUACCCCAGUAGUCCCAUGA